GCCUUUCGUCUUAUAUGUUUUCUCCUUUUCCUUUGGCUGUUUGUUGGUUUUUGUACGGACACCUAAUUUCUAAGAUGGCCGUGCCCACUGUGUCGUUUCCCAAUCUUCGUGCAAAGUGGAUUACUUUUCCCCCCAGCCCGCUGAGGCGGACGUAUCCUACCCCGUUUCCCUUGUGUGAGCUCGAGUUUCUGAAAAUCCGUGCAGUUUGCGGCGCAGGGUUUAAGUGGGGGUACUUUGGAUGGCUUUUAUCCGUUCCGUGCCUUCCGUGGCUACUUGGACAAAAACUGCCACUUCGCUUUCUGUACGGCGAGUCCUGAAAGGUGGCGGCCCCGGGAUCCGUGGCGAGAUGGGCGCAGACAUGAUCUCCGUGCCUGCUCCGUACAAACGCUGCGUGGCCCUCGUCGGCCGCCGUAGUCCGGCGCGGAGGCUGGGCGAAGGCGCAACAGUAAAAGAAUUCACGGAAGUGCGUAUUCUAGGAGGUAGUGGUGGGAUCAGGAGAAAAUCGGGACCGUGUGUGGAUCUCUGCGUGGAACAGGAUGAGGGAAACGAGUUCCUCAAGUCCAAGGCCUCGUUUGCCAAUCGCCUUUGGCUUUCCACAUCUUCUCUCGACCCCGUAGAAAUGAAAGCGUUGCUGGAGAUCGAGGAUUAAGCACACGUAAAGUGCUCACAGGUCGUGGUUCCUGGAGCAAGAUACAUCAUGUGAUGUGAGAAGGUUUCACGACCUGGAUAUCAUCAUUUGUGGGGACAUCACUGCCUGGAGACUAAGAUUUCUAACCAGAAAUUUAGGGCAGUUCAAGAAGAGGCUCAGGAGACAUCCUAGCUUUGGCUGUUUCCCAAUAACAGAUGAAAAUGAUCAAGGACCAGGGAUCACUGACACUGGAGGAUGUGGCCGUGGACUUCACGUGGGAGGAGUGGCAGCUCCUGGCCCCUGCUCAGAAGGACCUGUACCGGGACGUGAUGCUGGAGAACUAUAGCAACCUGCUGUCCAUUGGGUAUCAAGCCAGCAAGCCGGAUGCUCUCUCCAGAUUGGAACGAGGAGAACCGUGGCCAGUAGAAGAUGAAAUCCACAGUCAAAUCUGUCCAGAAAUGAGGAAAGAUGACUGUCUUCUGCAGGAGGACUUGCAAAAUCAAAGAUGUCCAAAAAGAAUGGAACAAUAUCACGAACAUAAUGCACUUGGAAACAUUGUUCAUCAGAGCAAAAGUAACUUUCCUUUAAGGCAAAAUCAUGAUAUGUUGGACUUUCAUGGGAAAACACUGAAAUCAAAUUUAAGUUUAGUCAACCAGAACAGAAGCUAUGGAGUAAAGAACCCUCUUGGAGAUGGGGAAUCCUUCCUCCAUGCAAAGCAUGAGCAAUUUCAUAGUGAAAUGAAAUUUACUGAAUGUGGAAGUUCUAUGAACACAAAUUCACAGUUCAUUAAGCAUCUAGGAACUCAGAAGAUAAAUAAACCCCACUUAUGCACUGAAUGUGGGAAAGCUUUCAUCAAGAAGUCCCGCCUCAUCGAUCAUCAGAGAGUGCACACAGGAGAAAAACCUCAUGGAUGCAGUAUAUGUGGGAAAGCCUUCUCCAGAAAGUCCAGGCUCACUGAACACCAGAAAACCCAUAUAGGAGAGAAACGGUAUACAUGCACUGAAUGUGACAAAGCCUUCCCCAAGAAAUCACGGCUGCUUAUUCAUCAGAAAACUCAUACAGGAGAAAAACCCUACAUAUGCGAGGAAUGUGGAAAAGGCUUCAUCAAGAAGUCUCGGCUCAUUAAUCAUCAGAGAGUUCAUACAGGAGAGAAACCUCAUGGGUGCAGUCUAUGCAACAAAGCAUUCUCCAGGAAGUCCCGGCUCAUCGAACAUCAGAGAACUCAUACGGGAGAAAAACCAUAUGAAUGCACUGAAUGUGACAAAGCCUUCCGCUGGAAAUCACAGCUUAAUGCACACCAGAAAACUCAUACAGGAGAGAAAUCAUAUAUAUGCAGUGAUUGUGGAAAAGCCUUCAUUCAGAAGGGCAAUCUCAUUGUGCAUCAGCGAACUCACACUGGAGAGAAACCCUAUAUGUGCAAUGAAUGUGGAAAAGGCUUCAUCCAGAAGGGCAAUCUCCUCAUACAUCAACGAACUCACACUGGAGAGAAACCCUAUGUAUGCACUGAAUGUGGGAAAGGCUUCAGCCAGAAAACAUGCCUCAUCUCACAUCAGAGAUUUCACACUGGAAAGACUCCCUUUGUAUGUACCGAAUGUGGAAAAUCGUGUUCACACAAGUCUGGCCUCAUUAACCAUCAGAGAAUUCACACAGGAGAGAAACCCUACGCAUGCAGUGACUGUGGGAAAGCCUUCAGGGAUAAGUCAUGCCUCAAUAGACAUCGGAGAACUCAUACAGGAGAAAGACCCUAUGGAUGCACUGACUGUGGGAAAGCCUUCUCCCACUUGUCAUGCCUCGUGUACCACAAAGGGAUGCUGCAUGCAAGAGAGAAACGUGGAGAUUCAGUCAAGUUGGAAAAUCCUUUCUCAGAGAGUCCCAGCUCAUCACGUUCGAGUGAUAUCAUACAGGGGAAAAACCCUGUUAAUGUGGAUGGAUUCAGGACAGAUGCUCCUCAGUAAAGCAUCAGAAAUAGAUUCUUCUUCAACUCGGAGUGCAGCUCUCUUCCACUUCUUGUGAAUUGCACGUCCUAUCAUGGCAGUCACGGCGUCUUUCCCAGUGAAAUCGUCCGUCUGGGUUCCCGAAUGGGCUGCCCAAGCCUGCCCUGAGGACCAGGUGCUGAACUCACCUUUCAGAGGUUGGCAUUCCAGGAAUCCCCGACAUAUGACGACAUGGCUAUGAAGUUCACGUGGGAGGAGUGGCAGCUCCUGGACCCCAAUCAGAAGGACCCGUACCCAGAUGUGAUGCUGGAGAACCAUAGCAACCUGGUAUCUUGUGGGGUGUCAAGCCUGCAGACCAGAUGCAUCCUCCAAGUUGGAACGAGGGGAAGAACCGUGGCCAAUAGAAGAUGAAAACCGCAGUUGAACCUGUUCAGCAUCUCUGCCUAUUUCUUCCACCUGCCUUGCUACAAGAUUCUACCUUCCUGCUCUUACUCCAAAGAUCUUUGAAGGGACCUUCCUUGUGGUGCAGUGGUUAAGAAUCCUCCUGCCAGUGCAGGGGACACGGGUUCGAGCCCUGGUCCAGGAAGAUCCCACAUGCCACAAAGCAACUAAGCCCG